rfam:Plasmodium malariae genome assembly, contig: contig159
UAAAUGAUGAUAAACCUUUUAAAUAUUUUGAUUUCAUAUCAAAUGUUUUUAUAAUCCUCUAAGAAGUUCUGAAUAUUUAU